rnacentral:rRNA from 1 species
AUGAGAGGCAGCAGCCUAGUGCAGGCGACGAUGAUAUUCGUCAUUGGAAGCCUUGUCGUUUGUGCACAGUGUGGUCUCGAUAAUAAGCAAACGGUGGUCAACCAAGAUGAUUAUGCGGCGAACACAAGUACCAACGCUACCAUCGUCAACUCGACGUCUGUAGGCGAGAGCAAGAUAACCAUCAAAUUUUGCAUCCGCAAUUUCUUAUGUCAAUUCCCAGGUGGGUACCAUGGUACGUGCUACUGCUGCCAGAAUAAUCGCCGGUGUUACAAGAUGCGGAGUCAGUGCCUGGACAACUGCCCUACCUGCAACCCUAGAUGCCCACCUCUGUCGGGGUCUCAGGGAUAG